GCGCGCACUGGUCUUUGGGCUUUCUCCUUCCGGUCUCCCGCCUCGCUCUCUCUCUCUGGCCCGCGGGACCACAAUGCUCCGCGCCUCUUGUCACUGGGAAGGCGCCGAAAGCAGGGGUCACUCGAAAAGAAAAGGUCGACGCGGUGCCUGCUGGUGUCUAACCUGUAGCAGUAGCAGGCUGCUGGUCUAGCCUGCUGCUUUCCACAAGCCAUCCAAAUGGGACCCCAGCUUACCUUUCCUAUGACAUCUGUCAACAGCUUCAGAGACCGAGGAUCGUGAACCAGGGAGUCUGUGUAGAAGGAGCCAAGAACGGAGUCCCAUGGAUAACUGGAAAAACCCAAGCGUUGAAGCUGUGCUCCCGACCUCAGUCCAGCACAAACCUACGAGCCAAGGCAGCCAGUAUUUGGCCAUUCGACCAUCCAUCUGCAUAUCCCAGGGAUGCACGAACAGAGAACAGUUCAGCCUCUCAGCUGCCUUAAAUAGAGCAAUGAGAAAGAGGUUAUUGGGGGCCACCACUUUUUUUAUAUCUCAUUCUACGUUGAUAUGAGCAAAUAAGCUCAAAUACUUUGAAAUUCCUUCUUGAUCAGUAUAGAAGAUUCCUUGACCAAUUAUUACUGCUUGAACAAAUAAAAAGAACUCUCAGAAUUAA